GUAUGUAGUCAGCAACGCCUAGAAACAAUCAGAGAAGAACAUGAGGUGACCGUGGGGCGUAUAACCACACCCACCUCCCAGGGGAUCAGCUCAUUGUUGGAGGAGUAAAGUCAUCACAGAGUGAAAUGGGCAGCUCCGUUGGUAUGGAAGAGUAUGGAACUGAGGUUUAGGGAGUCCUUGUUUCCAGGCUCAGAGUUGCCAUGUGGAGUAUGUCUUCGGAGAAGCCCCUUAAAUUGUGAACAUUGAGAAGUGAACCAAGAACCAUGAUGUCUGGUAAAGCCCAGUUCCUUCAAGGCUUAUCAGCAGAACAAGACAAGGUUCUAAGAGCUUCCAUGGAGAUCAGAAGAUAUCUACCACAAGCCACUCUGAGCUGGGCACCAAGGGCUGCAGGCUGUGGUGGAACCACCUCUACUUGGAGAAGGUCACUUUUUGCAUUCUGAUGAAGUAUCCCUGGGGAUUGACUGUCCUGUAACCAACAUAACUGAGAAGGGGUAUGGGUUUAAUCACCUUGUCACCGAGUGUGGGAUUCAGAAAGAGGUAAGAGCUAUGGACAUUUCAAAUCAUAAACUAACCCUGGAUUUUAACUUGCAGUGGCACAGUGCAAGAUAGGUGCAGUCAUGGCUGAAGAUGAAGCCAUGAAGAACCUGUUCAUUUUUAUGACACUUGAUUUUGGUGCUUUUAGGAUAGA